rnacentral:rRNA from 1 species
UACGGAGGGGGCUAGCGUUGUUCGGAAUUACUGGGCGUAAAGCGUACGUAGGCGGCUUUGUAAGUUAGAGGUGAAAGCCUGGAGCUCAACUCCAGAACUGCCUUUAAGACUGCAUCGCUCGAAUGCAGGAGAGGUGAGUGGAAUUCCGAGUGUAGAGGUGAAAUUCGUAGAUAUUCGGAAGAACACCAGUGGCGAAGGCGGCUCACUGGACUGGUAUUGACGCUGAGGUGCGAAAGCGUGGGGAGCAAACCGG